GACGAACGCUGGCGGCGUGCCUAACACAUGCAAGUCGAACGGGAAUACUAUUGUAGCAAUACGAGAGUAUUCUAGUGGCGGACGGGUGAGUAACGCGUGAGCAAUCUGCCCUUCGGAGGGGGACAACAGCUGGAAACGGCUGCUAAUACCGCAUAACGUAUACGGGAGGCAUCUUCUGUAUACCAAAGAUUUAUCGCCGAAGGAUGAGCUCGCGUCUGAUUAGCUAGUUGGUGAGGUAACGGCUCACCAAGGCUGCGAUCAGUAGCCGGACUGAGAGGUUGAACGGCCACAUUGGGACUGAGAUACGGCCCAGACUCCUACGGGAGGCAGCAGUGGGGAAUCUUGCGCAAUGGGGGCAACCCUGACGCAGCCAUGCCGCGUGAAUGAUGAAGGCCUUAGGGUUGUAAAGUUCUUUUGCCCGUGACGAUGAUGACGGUAACGGGAGAAUAAGCUCCGGCUAACUUCGUGCCAGCCGCCGCUGUAAAAC
rnacentral:rRNA from 1 species